GAUUUUAGACCUUAUAUACGGAUUUGGGCGGUAGAUAAUGACGUUUUUUCUUGUAGUGAACUUCCUCCAGAGAACUUCAAAUGAGAUGAUUUUUUUUGUUGGAAGGUAGACUCAAAGAGCUUUCAUUUGACUAUAAGUUUUGAUGAAUUUUAGAGUGAAAGUUGAAUUAUUGAGAAAAUAGAGAAAUUUUGAGCAAAAUACAACAAACUAAAUUCAGCGUUGCUGCUACGUGGAAUCUAAGGCUUGAGCCACACAAAGAAAACCCACCAUGGAGGAAAACCUCAAGCUUUAGUUGAGGCUUAAGCCAAGAAGAAUCCUUCACCUAGAAGUAAUCUUAGUAGGCUUCACCAUAGAAACACAAGUCCUGAGUCAUAGAGGAAACCCACCUUGGGGGAAACCUCACAGUUGGGCCGUGGAAGCCACCGUUGAAGCCACAAUGUUAGUGUCUACAAAAAAAAAAAAAAAUUCUCCUCUAUUUUCGAGAGCUUUUUGGAGUUUCCUCCAUGCAUUACCUUAUUUUCAUAUAUUAUGAGGAGCUAAAUAGGUGUUGAAUUGAGAUGUUGAAACUCUCUUGUAUUUGGUACUAUUUUUAUUUAUGAAUGUUUGCUUUU